rnacentral:rRNA from 1 species
CAGUCGCCGCGGGAAUACGUAGGGUGCGAGCGUUGUCCGGAAUUACUGGGCGUAAAGAGCUCGUAGGCGGUUUGUCACGUCGUCUGUGAAAUCCUAGGGCUUAACCCUGGACGUGCAGGCGAUACGGGCUGACUUGAGUACUACAGGGGAGACUGGAAUUUCUGGUGUAGCGGUGGAAUGCACAGAUAUCAGGAAGAACACCGAUGGCGAAGGCAGGUCUCUGGGUAGUAACUGACGCUGAGGAGCGAAAGCAUGGGUAGCGAACAGGAUUAGAUACCCCGGUAGUCCCUGUCUCUUAUAC